CCAAUUGGGGGGGGUGGGGGACAUGCUAGUGGGGCCGAAGAUGGGAGCUUGCUCCCUGAUGUUAGCGGCGGACGGGUGAGUAACACGUGGGUAACCUGCCUGUAAGACUGGGAUAACUCCGGGAAACCGGGGCUAAUACCGGAUGGUUGUUUGAACCGCAUGGUUCAAACAUAAAAGGUGGCUUCGGCUACCACUUACAGAUGGACCCGCGGCGCAUUAGCUAGUUGGUGAGGUAACGGCUCACCAAGGCAACGAUGCGUAGCCGACCUGAGAGGGUGAUCGGCCACACUGGGACUGAGACACGGCCCAGACUCCUACGGGAGGCAGCAGUAGGGAAUCUUCCGCAAUGGACGAAAGUCUGACGGAGCAACGCCGCGUGAGUGAUGAAGGUUUUCGGAUCGUAAAGCUCUGUUGUUAGGGAAGAACAAGUACCGUUCGAAUAGGGCGGUACCUUGACGGUACCUAACCAGAAAGCCACGGCUAACUACGUGCCAGCAGCCGCGGUAAUACGUAGGUGGCAAGCGUUGUCCGGAAUUAUUGGGCGUAAAGGGCUCGCAGGCGGUUUCUUAAGUCUGAUGUGAAAGCCCCCGGCUCAACCGGGGAGGGUCAUUGGAAACUGGGGAACUUGAGUGCAGAAGAGGAGAGUGGAAUUCCACGUGUAGCGGUGAAAUGCGUAGAGAUGUGGAGGAACACCAGUGGCGAAGGCGACUCUCUGGUCUGUAACUGACGCUGAGGAGCGAAAGCGUGGGGGAGCGCACAGGAUUAGAUACCCUGGUAGUCCACGCCGUAAACAAUGAGUGCUAAGUGUUGGGAGGUUCUCCUCCCCUUCAGUGCUGCAGCGUAC
rnacentral:rRNA from 1 species